CAGCCAUAUCAUUUCAACCUCCUGUUCUCGUAUGAUCACCGAAGUUAAGCAAUGUUGGGCGUGGCCAGUACCUAGAUGGGUGACUGCUUAGGAAU